ACUCAUCCCCAACAGUAGAGAGGCAGUUACCGCUCGGGCCACUUACUAACUGUUGGAAACGUGCGUCCAUUUUCACAGACGGACCGGGAUGCCUCCGAGCCCAGUCGGAGAAAAGCCCGGCUCGAUGACAAACCUCUGAACUUUCACUCCUAAAGCAAACACGUCGCUGGGAAGGUGAGUGUAAACAAAGUCCUGUUCAGUGCUGUAAGAAACACAUUGUUGGUGCUCUCAUAUUUGCAGUUCUCUUUGUGUGUGUGUGUGUGUGUGUGAGAGAGAGAGAGAAGAGAAAAGAAGAGUGGAAGAAAAAGGGGAUGAAUAUGUCAUCAGUUGGAUUUUCCAUUAAAGUUAAAGAGGCCAGAUUGCUCCCAGCCAGCCCCGCCCCAUCCCGCCACGGCCAAACGGCGGCGCCGAGUGGCAAAACAAUGUGCACACACACACACGCGCGCACGCCCGCCUGCAAACACACACACCCUAAGGUAUAAUGAAUAGAAACAUAAUCUCAGAAUUCAAACAAUGAAUGCUUUGUGACUUUUAAUGAGUGAAAGAAUGACAUCUUUAUUUCUUCUUGGGGAUUAAAGCGUAAAAUCACAGCUGCCGUUUGAGUUCAGAUUCCAUCGGUCACAUUUCCCCCACAAACAAUGGAUGAAAGUUACAUGUCAAACCAUAAAUAAUUGUAUAGAUGCACAAACCUACACAAUACGUAAGAUGAAAUCAAGUCACCCUCUUUCUGAGUAUAAAGAUUUUUAGCAGCAUAAAACAUGCAUCCUAAAGUUGUUGUGUUUUUUUUUUGGAGGGGUGGAGCAUAAUAUGAAAAUAAAUGUGACUCUGUUCCUUUUCUGUCUUAAGCCUUACAGUAUAAUAAUAACACUUCACUAUGCAAUUUACAGCAAUUUUGUAAAUAGAAGUAAUUUGUGUUAAAGAUGCAGCAUGUCACUUAUUGAUUUGUUUUUCUACAUAUGUUAAAAUCAUUAAGUUGUGACUGUGUAACAUAAGAGAUAAUUUGUGAAAAACAAACAGCUGCCAACCACUCUGGUGCUCAACCCUCCUACUUGCUCUAUGCUAAGCUACAGCUGGCUCACCACAACAUAGCCUGUCACGAAUGCUAAGGCUAGUUAGCAUGGCCACUGGUGACGGCGGAGAAACGGUUUUCCUUUAACGGUAAGUUGUUUUUCCACCAUUAGCACACUGAGCAGAAUACAGAAGGUUGGUUUUGAUUGACAGCACUAAGGCCCUCCUCUUGGCUCUGAUUGGUUGUUUCUAACUGGGGGCGGGGCAGCUCUGCAGACUGCAGUAGCACCUCCGGGUGGAGGUGGAGGAGCUCGAUGUCUUCAGAGAUCAUCUGUCUCAUACUGUCUGACUCUUUGCAAGACUUGAGGUGUAAAAAGGUGAAAGGGAGAGAAGGGGAGCCUGGUGGGCAGAGAGUCAGAGUCAGAUUCUCUCCUAUUGGUCAACAUCAAGAUCCCAGCUCCUCACACACACAAAACUUUAUUGAAAUCUCCCUUUUCAUUUCCCUUUGUUGUUGUUGUUUUUUUUUUUUUUUUAACUCUUAGCAUACGCAGUCUCCAAGCUGCCAAUUUGCAACACUGCAAUACCCACCCUGCACCAGGAGAUGGCAGAUUGUCAACAGUAACAACAUCAAAAUUCCAAAGAAGAAGGCAAAGCAGGCGAAACAAUCACAGCUCAUCUUUUCUCUGGCCUUUUCGGUCUUAAACUUCUUCAGCCUAUCUGUUUAAGAUGGUCAGAAAAGAGCGAGACAUGUAUGAAAAAAAACCAUUUAAAAUGCUUCAUUGUUUUUUUUUUAUUUUUAGUGCAGAAAGUGAUAAUGGCCAUGUGGAAAAUGGGCCUCUGUGUCACUGUCUUUAAUGUCUUUGCAAGACAGUGCAAAGCUCAAAGCUAACUAAGCGUGUAAGUUUAUUAAAGUAAAGUAAUAACAAUAUAGCAACACUGCUACUACUUCUACCUCUGCUAGUAGUAAUAAACUGCUACUAAUAAUAAAUUACUGUCAACGUCGCCCCGCCAUUUAGGGUUUUUUUAUUACUUUUGUUUCAUCCUUCUGCUGAUUUGUUGAAAUUUCCUAGGAAGUAAUCCAAUACUGAUUCUGACUGAUGUUGCAACAACCUGACAGAGACACAAUGCAGUCAUCUUUUCUACUGUUGAGAGAAGGAGGUUUCACAGUAGUUCGGUUGUCUUUUUUUCCAUCUAAUUUAUAGAGCCUAGAAGCAAGAAUUUGUCCAAGUUUUCAACUUCACUGAACCCCGGUAAUGAUCUAUCGCUCGUUCUCCAACAGAAUUAUGGCUCAGAGCAAAUAAGCAUGCAUGGUUUAUUAAGCUGUGGGAAUGUUUUUUAACAACCUCCAUUUUUAUUUUGCCCUCGGGCGUCCAAUGAGCUCCAUACAUACGGCUGGAUGGUGUUUUUCUGUUGAAAUCCAUGGUGGUAACUUGAAAACAAAGAAACAAACGGGGGGUGGUGGGGUGGGGGGGAGGACCUGUGGUUGUUAAAAGCAAAUGUUCCCGGUCUAUCCUUUAGCUGUCAGCCUACAAAACCUUUAAGGCUAAUUUUUAAAUAGUAACUUGGAGGGAUGGAUGAGAAAUCAGAUAGUGACAAGAAUGGUCAGAUUUUCAGCUUGACUGGCUCUGAACAGACACCAGAGAGACAGAAACUUUAAAAUAAUUCAGUCUUUUGCCAGUUAGUGAACGGUAGAAGUGGGCGGAUCGAUCCACAAUAUCGAUAAUAUCGAUACACCAAAUCAGUAUCGGAUAGAUUCUAGAGUUUAUGCAAUAGUUUAGAGAGUUUACUUUAGAUUCAGAUUCGCUCUUCAUAUUUUAAUUCAUGUUUGUAUUGCAGUUUUUCCAACUCUACCGCUAAAAUAAUUUUGUUUUGACGUGCUUUUAAUGAUACUGUUUUGCGAUGUAUUUAGGAAGUGCACACAAAUCAUGAUAAUAUUAAUUAAGUAUUUUGUAGAUAACUACUAACUUUGCCCAAAUCCUGUCCUAGGUUUGAACAAAAUAAUUCAAAGGGAAAAAACCCCACAAACCUAAAUAUCAGAGGUUUGACGAUUUAAUCUAACUUGAAAAGUUUCGGUAUCAUUAGUAUUGGCGAUACACACUGGUGAUUUACUUGGUAUCGGAUCAAUACCAGAAUAUUGACCCCUUCCUAAAAUAACAGCCCAAGUCCCCAGCUCUUUCUUUCCAAAAGAUGUUUUAGGGGGGGAAAAAAAUCAUUUUUGGCAAAAAAAAUGGCCAUUAUUUUAGGAAGGUGACAAUAUGCAGAAUCACACAGGACCCAACAUAAACGCCAAUAGCUUUCACUUGCAACCAAACUUCAGUAUCCAUGUCAACGCCUAAUGAAGUAGUUUACAGAUCAGGAAGGUUUUCGAAAUCAAGUCAGAAAAUGCCAGAAGAUGUAAAAAGUUAUUUAAAAACCUAAACAUAUUUUGUGCCACAUUUCGGCACAUCUAUGUGGUUCCUUUAGGCUUCGUGACUAAACGAGCAGAUAACAGGAAGGCUCAAUUAAGUUUUAUCCUUUUGAGCUUCUCUCUUCCAUGCUACGGGACACGCUGGCUUCACAAAUGUUGGCAACCUUUUUAGAAACCUCAGAGUUAAAGUAAGUAUCCAAACUCAAUGCACAUCGGUAAAGCCAUUGGUAACCCUAGCAAUGCUAACUGCUAUUAUAAGACGGUGCAGACAGUUUAAAAUGUCUACUCUGUUGUGACGGCUUUGAAAUAUUACGGUGACUCCUCUCUCACUCAGUCACAGUACGGUCGCCCCUGCUCCUAAUAUUACUGAUUAAUGAACGUUCAUGUCAUGGAGGAUGGAAACAUGUAUUCUCAACACUGUUCUCCUGUUAUAGCGCUAAACGAGAAAUUCAGCUAUGGCUGGUUUCAGCAGGUCCAACCAGAAAUUACCAAAGAAAAAAUGAGAUUGGAGAAAUUCUGAUUGGUUCAUCUCUAGUAGUUUGUAGCUAUUUGGACAGAGAAGCCACAUAAUUAUGUAAAAAUGCCAACAGUCGUUCUAAAAUUAGCUUUGGCUAGAGGCAACGGUGUAGUUAGGGCAUCCUCCAUUGAACGAAUAGUUUCUCUAGACAAAUAAGGUCUAGAAAAUAACCAGCUGCAGUGAUGAAAGUUACAUUUCUCAUUUUUACAUAACGUCUUCUUCCAUUUACUCGUAAAUAAUAAUAAUUAAAAAAAAGCUUGUUGAUAAUAGGUUUCAAUACUGUUGGUACUCUCUAAGAUUAAACGAUCCAGAAGGCCGCUUAAACAGACGUAAAGCUUCGAAGUCUGACCAAAUUCUUGCUUGAGCACAAUCAAUCAAGUUAAGUGACCCAAAAUAGUAUUUUGCUGACAUUUUUUUUCCCCAGUGCAACGGAGGAUGGGAAAUAGAUUACUGACAGGGUAAUCUAUUUCCCAUCUGACAGAUCGUCAGAGUGCCAAAAUUACUGUAAGGUGAUUCUAAGGCGGCCAUAUGUUCCCACACACACAUACACACAGGUGUCAUCACACCUACUCCUUCCUCAGCAUUAGUCACACAGAGUCAGCUCAAGAAGAAAAGGCCCAUAUCCAUCAACAGGAGAGGCCUUUCUAAACACCACGCCAUCCCUCUUAUCAAAACAAUGUUAAAAGCGGUUGACUAGAUUUCAGCGAUGCCAGGAAGCGCACGCAUGCUGCUGAAGUCAUCCCGGGCCCGGUUCACGUCCCGUUGGAGUGACCGGGAGCGUCUGUGUCUGUCCGUGUGUGAGCCUGCGAUCAGAGCAGUGAGCACCGUGACCUGACAGCCGUGUUGAUGGCACAUUGCUUCUCAUCGCACGCUGAAGACUGCAGGAAUGUAAACUCUGUCCGCACUCUGACAUCAAUGCCGUCAGCCCAGUCUGCACUGAAAGAAAUCCACUUUUGGACCUCCGCUCGCUCAGUCGAAAGUACUUCGGUGUUGUUUCUUUUUUGGACGUCGAAAAUUGAGAGCCCAACGCGCGUGUUUGUCGUCUGAGGACGAUUGUUCCUCGUUUUCCUACAGUGUCUGGUGAUGGACUGAUACGAUGUAGGGAAUAAUGGUGAAGUGGAGGAAAAAUGACCUGAAGGUGAAACUGAGACUUUUACCAAACUGAGACAUUUUUGGCAAAACAUCUGUGGAAUCAUAAGACAAUCCGUAACUGCGUUUCCAUUGCGAAUGUGCGCAAAGCUUUGUCAAUGUUACUGUCAAAAAGCCCACAAUUUUACAAUUUAAUUUUUCCAUUAAAUAAGAAAUGCAAUUAAGGUCAUGUGUAUAACAUGCCGCGCCAUCAUCGUCCAGCUACUUCCUGUUGUCGUCUUCGUAGUUUGCACCAGUGGCAACAUGCGGUUGUUGAUCAUGUCACUGGAGUGA